AAUCAACGCUGGCGGCGUGCCUCAGACAUGCAAGUCGAACGAUUAAAGCUCUCUUCGGAGAGUGUAUAGAGUGGCGCACGGGUGAGUAACACGUAAGUAAUCUACCCUCGAGUGGGGAAUAACAACCGGAAACGGUUGCUAAUACCGCAUAAUGCAGCGGCACCGCAAGGUGACAGUUGUUAAAGAUUUAUCGCUUGAGGAGGAGCUUGCGGCAGAUUAGCUAGUUGGUAGGGUAACGGCUUACCAAGGCUACGAUCUGUAACCGGUCUAAGAGGACGGUCGGUCACACUGACACUGAAUAACGGGUCAGACUCCUACGGGAGGCAGCAGUCGGGAAUUUUGGGCAAUGGGCGAAAGCCUGACCCAGCAACGCCGCGUGAAGGAUGAAGUAUUUCGGUAUGUAAACUUCGAAAGAAUAGGAAGAAUUAAUGACGGUACUAUUUAUAAGGUCCGGCUAACUACGUGCCAGCAGCCGCGGUAAUGUAUCGU
rnacentral:rRNA from 1 species